rnacentral:misc_RNA from 1 species
GAAAUGCGAUAAGUAAUGUGAAUUGCAGAAUUCAGUGAAUCAUCGAAUCUUUGAACGCACAUUGCGCCCGCCAGUAUUCUGGCGGGCAUGCCUGUCCGAGCGUCAUUUCAACCAUCAAGCCCCCGGGCUUGUGUUGGGGACCUGCGGCUGCCCGCAGGCCCUGAAAACCAGUGGCGGGCUCGCUGUCACACCGAGCGUAGUAGCAAUCACCUCGCUCAGGGCGUGCUGCGGGUUCCGGCCGUUAAACAGCCUUACAAAACCCAAGGUUGAUCUCAAAUCAGGUAGGACUACCCGCUGAACUUAAGC